AGAUUAAGUUAUUAAGGGCGCACGGUGGAUGCCUUGGCACUAGAAGCCGAUGAAGGACGUUACUAACGACGAUAUGCUUUGGGGAGCUGUAAGUAAGCUUUGAUCCAGAGAUUUCCGAAUGGGGAAACCCAGCAUGAGUUAUGUCAUGUUAUCGAUAUGUGAAUACAUAGCAUAUCAGAAGGCACACCCGGAGAACUGAAACAUCUUAGUACCCGGAGGAAGAGAAAGAAAAUUCGAUUCCCUUAGUAGCGGCGAGCGAAACGGGAAGAGCCCAAACCAACAAGCUUGCUUGUUGGGGUUGUAGGACACUCUAUACGGAGUUACAAAGGACGACAUUAGACGAAUCAUCUGGAAAGAUGAAUCAAAGAAGGUAAUAAUCCUGUAGUCGAAAAUGUUGUCUCUCUUGAGUGGAUCCUGAGUACGACGGAGCACGUGAAAUUCCGUCGGAAUCUGGGAGGACCAUCUCCUAAGGCUAAAUACUCU
rnacentral:rRNA from 1 species